GCAGAAAUGGUGGAAUGGUAGACACGAAAGACUUAAAAUCUUUUGGGGCGGAAGCUCCGUGCGGGUUCGAGUCCCGCUUUCUGUA
rnacentral:tRNA from 1 species